UGGUGGAGUGAUCUGUCUGGUUAAUUCCGAUAACGAACGAGACCUCAACCUGCUAAAUAGGCACGUGAACUUCUGUUUACGCAGUCUUCUUAGAGGGACUUCCGGGGCUACUCGGAGGAAGUGUGAGGCAAUAACA
rnacentral:rRNA from 1 species